rnacentral:lncRNA from 10 species
GUGCUCCUUUGGGGUUCCUCAGGAGAUGGCAAAAGUGGGGAACCACGUGUGGGCUGAGGUGUAGAUGGAGUGGGGAAGGCUGGAGGGUCAAGAGCCUCCCUAAUUUUUCUUGAACCAGAGCUACUUUGAUUUUAUUUGUGCUACAUCUCUAAGAAUCCACAGCAGAUUUCAUGUCAAAAAUAGAGUUCUAAUGCUGAAAUGCAUUUGAAAGCCUCUGCUCUAUACAGCUAUUAUAUCUGCCAAAGGAUAGUGUUAACAUACUCUGACAUCUGAAGAUCCAGGAUUUCCAACAUUUAGAGCAACUUCACCUAUAAGCCCCACCUUCUCCCAUGUUUUCCCUCUCUUUUCACCCUCUCAUUUUCCUCUUCUUCCCAGCCUCCUCAUAUAUCAUCUCUUCCCUCAUUCUUAACUCUCUGUGGCAUAGAACUGCUGUAUAUUUGUGUUUGUGUGUUUACCACUGGUCAAUAAC